rnacentral:rRNA from 1 species
UGGCCUUGACAUACUAAGAACUUUCCAGAGAUGGAUUGGUGCCUUCGGGAACUUAGAUACAGGUGCUGCAUGGCUGUCGUCAGCUCGUGUCGUGAGAUGUUGGGUUAAGUCCGCAACGAGCGCAACCCUUCUCCUUAUUUGCCAGCGGGUUAAGCCGGGAACUUUAAGGAUACUGCCAGUGACAAACUGGAGGAAGGCGGGGACGACGUCAAGUCAUCAUGGCCCUUACGGCCAGGGCUACACACGUGCUACAAUGGUCGGUACAAAGGGUUGCUACCUCGCGAGAGGAUGCUAAUCUCAAAAAGCCGAUCGUAGUCCGGAUCGCAGUCUGCAACUCGACUGCGUGAAGUCGGAAUCGCUAGUAAUCGCGGAUCAGAAUGCCGCGGUGAAUACGUUCCCGGGCCUUGUACACACCGCCCGUCACACCAUGGGAGUUUGUUGCACCAGAAGUAGGUAGUCUAACCGCAAGGAGGACGCUUACCACGGUGUGGCCGAUGACUGGGGUGAAGUCGUAACAAGGUAGGCGUAGAUGA